GUAGGUGGCAAGCGUUGUCCGGAAUUAUUGGGCGUAAAGCGCGCGCAGGCGGUCCUUUAAGUCUGAUGUGAAAGCCCACGGCUCAACCGUGGAGGGUCAUUGGAAACUGGGGGAUUUGAGUACAGAAGAGGAAAGCGGAAUUCCAAGUGUAGCGGUGAAAUGCGUAGAGAUUUGGAGGAACACCAGUGGCGAAGGCGGCUUUCUGGUCUGUAACUGACGCUGAGGCGCGAAAGCGUGGGGAGCAAACAGGGAUUAGAUACCCUGGUAGUCCACGCCGUAAACGAUGAAUGCUAAGUGUUAGGGGGUUUCCCGCCCCUUAGUGCUGCAGCUAACGCAUUAAGCACUCCGCCUGGGGAUACGGCCGCAAGGCUG
rnacentral:rRNA from 1 species